GCCGGGAUGGCGGAAUUGGUAGACGCGCUAGUUUCAGGUACUAGUAGGGGAAACCCUGUGGAGGUUCGAGUCCUCUUUCCGGCA
rnacentral:tRNA from 1 species